AUUGAACGCUGGCGGCAUGCCUUACACAUGCAAGUCGAACGGCAGCGGGCCCUUCGGGGUGCCGGCGAGUGGCGAACGGGUGAGUAAUGCAUCGGAACGUACCCGGGAGAGGGGGAUAACCGGCCGAAAGGCUGGCUAAUACCGCAUGAACUCGGAAGAGCAAAGCGGGGGACCUUCGGGCCUCGCGCGCUCGGAGCGGCCGAUGUACGGUUACGCUAGCUGGUGGGGUAAAGGCCAACCAAGGGGACGACCGGUAGCCGGUCGGGGAGGACGAUCCGCCACCCUGGAACUGAGACACGGCCCAGACUCCUACGGGAGGCAGCAGUGGGGAAUCUUGGACAAUGGGCGCAAGCCUGAUCCAGCAACGCCGCGUGGGUGAAGAAGGCCUUCGGGUUGUAAAGCCCUUUCGGCGGGGAAGAAAUCGGUCAGGCGAAUAGUCUGGCCGGAUGACGGUACCCGCAGAAGAAGCACCGGCUAACUACGUG
rnacentral:rRNA from 1 species